rnacentral:lncRNA from 1 species
GUCUUUCUAUAACCUUUUCCCAACCGCAAUUGUGAAUAAGAUAUGUCAAUUCAAAGUUGGGGAAGUCUUCUAACUUAACUGGCCUCUCGGGAAUGAUUGCCCAAUCACGCACAACGUUGGCGUAUCGGGCUGCCGUAUCUGAUGAUAGGAAUCUUCGAACACCCCCUUCGGGUUCUCUUGUUCGGGCCGUUCCAGAUGAGGAGCUGACUUUCUCUUUUCCCUUUGAAGUUCUUUUAGGAGGCAUCCUGCAAAAGGAAAUACAUAAUAUCACUUACUUGGUGUA